UGACAGUACUCCUACGGGGAGGCAGCAGUGGGGGAAUAUUGCACAAUGGGCGCAAGCCUGAUGCAGCCAUGCCGCGUGUGUGAAGAAGGCCUUCGGGUUGUAAAGCACUUUCAGUCGUGAGGAAGGUAGUGUAGUUAAUAGCUGCAGUAUUUGACGUUAGCGACAGAAGAAGCACCGGCUAACUCCGUGCCAGCAGCCGCGGUAAUACGGAGGGUGCGAGCGUUAAUCGGGAUUACUGGGCGUAAAGCGCAUGCAGGUGGUUUGUUAAGUCAGAUGUGAAAGCCCGGGGCUCAACCUCGGAAUAGCAUUUGAAACUGGCAGACUAGAGUACUGUAGAGGGGGGUAGGAAUUUCAGGUGUAGCGGUGAAAUGCGUAGAGAUCUGAAGGAAUACCGGUGGCGAAGGCGGCCCCCUGGACAGAUACUGACACUCAGAUGCGAAAGCGUGGGGAGCAAACAGGAUUAGAUACCCUGGUAG
rnacentral:rRNA from 1 species